CAGUAGCUCAACUAGGUAGAGCAGCGGACUCUUAAUCCGUUGGUUGGGGGUUCGAUUCCUCCCUGGC
rnacentral:tRNA from 1 species